CUAAGAUUGUGCAUGAAAUUCUGUGUACAUACUACAUAAGACAACAAAUCAAAGCACCUCUCUCGCACAGGCAACAUAAACUCCUGUUCGGUGGGAAAAUUGCAUCGGUGCAUCCCCUCGACAAAUUUCCCGAAACUCCAAAACAAAUCGCAUAUAGCACAUCUGGACGUGUUUGUGUAUGUAUAUUUUUGUACACAUUCAAAUUCAAAAAAGCCGAGUUCUUUCAUUUUACAGACAGUAAUGGAAACUCAGAUUUUUGGCGAAGAAUGAAGGUUUCAGAUGGUACUGAGUCGAUUCUUUCUCCAAAUUCACGGUCAGGUGGGGAUAAGUUGACGUGUUACCGGAGUCUACGCCGGCGGCGGAAGGGAAACAAUGAUGUUGGCAGGAGGGGGAGGUGGGUUGGAAGUGAGCUCGUUGUCACUCCUCUUCGGCAAUGGAAAUUCCAUGACAGAGAUUUCAUCCCGGCGGCGGCGGUUUCGGUUUCAGCCAGGAAAAUUGCUGCCGGACUGUGGCAGUUUGCUUCGACGGCAGGUGGCGCCCGGUGGCGAUAUGGGCUAUUUCAUCAGUUAGGAUGUGAGGUAUUUUUGAACAAGUAGUCUUCUCUUUUUCUUUAUAUUCUUCUUAUGUUGUUCAUCAAGUUUAAAUUUUUUUUUUCUAUAUUUUAGUCAGAAUACAGUGAUGAAUGAGGAAUCUUCUCUUCUAUAUUGUUUCUGGGUUUUUUGCUUUGAUUGUUUCAAGGGGUCCGAGGUAGUAAUUAAUUUAUGUUAAUAAUGUGACACGUUUUCCCUCCAGUUCAAAUCACCAAGAUUGAAGUUACUAAACUUUCUCUCUAAUUCAUUAAUCCAGCUGAAUUCUUCAAUGGAAACCCCUAAUCAUGCAACGGAAGGAGCUACAACAAAGUGGGAAUGUGGCUACUCGAAAGUACAGAUUGCAACUUUCUCAGAUGCUUCUGCUUUGCAAGUUGAAUUGGUUGAAGCUCGAAAUCGAAUAAAAGAGCUUGAAGCUAAGCGAAUGUUUUCUAGGAUGAAACUCCAAAGCUUCACGAGAAAGCUGGAUGAAGAAAGGGCUACAUGGAUUAGACGAGAGCAUCAAAAAAUGAGUGCAAUAAUCGAGCACUUAAAGGAACGCACAGUAAGGGAAAAAAGAAAAUUUCAAAAGAUCGAUAUUCUUAACUCCAAACUUCAUAGCAAUCUUGCUGAUUCCAAGAAAUCGGCCAAGCAAUUCGUGCAGAAUUACGAGAGAGAGAAAAAGGCGAAAGUGUUUUUGCAGGAGUUAUGUACUGAGCUAGCUAAAGAAAUUGAGAAGGAAAAGGCUGAAAUUGUAGCGUUGAAGAGUGAACUCGGACGAGUCCUAGAGAAGGUGGAAGAAGAGAAAAAUAUGCUGCAAAUGGUCGAGGCUUGGCACGAAGAACGUGUCCAGAUGACGUUAGUCAAUGCAAAGCUGAUUUUGGAGGAGAAAUAUUCUGAAAUGAGUAAUAUUAUAGCGGAGCUCCAGACAUUCUUGAGAUCGACAAAUGUAAAUACAGAUAUGAGUCAUAUGACCAAGAAGAGCCAGAUCGAACUCCAAGGCACAAACGAAUUCUCACAUACGCCUCCAAAACCAGAUUACAUACACACAAUCGUUGAGGGUUCAAGAGUUGAAGUAGAGAAAGGACGGGAAAUGGACCGUUGCAUUGGUCGUAGUCCUACCAGUCAUUCUUUGCGUGUUGCAAGAAGCACCACUAAUAUGCAUUCAAGUGACAAGGAGACUGUGAUCCAAGCUGAAGAUCAGAAUUCGAGUUACAAUCUUGAGGAGUUCGAGCAAUCAGCAAAUGACAAUAAUGGGUGUAAGUACAUUUCCAGUGGUAAACCAGAAGAUGACCAUUUUAAACAUCAUGGCAAGUCCACCUCCUCGGCUUUAUCAAAGAAACCGAAGAAAAAAGGUCCGUCCCCGCUCAAGCUUUGGAGAAGCUUUAAAGAUGGGAAUGCAAAGCUUUUAAAUGCAUCGUCGUCCAAUGUAUCUUCUAUUUCUCAAGAUAGAGUUUCCGGUGAAGGGGCAGUUUGCGGCCGCGGUUUGGUUGGUCACCGGUGCCAACCUGAUCCUAGGAAUCCACACAUAGUUCGAGGUAUGCAAGGUCGUAUUGAAUGGAGGCGAGGAAUCCAAAGGCGAGGCUUGAGAGCAGAGGGCUUGGAAACCAGGUUAGUAAGUCAGAAAAUGCAGUUAUGCAGUGUACUUAAACGGAGGAGUUAAAGAGUAAGUGAGUGAUCUUACCAAAGUUUGCUUUAGUGAACUAUUGUGAAAGGAUUUUGCUGAACUGCCAGAAGAAGCUUGCUAGAAGCGGUGACCGCCCCUCGCACCGCUGUGGGUCCCACUUGAAUAAAAGAUUCUGACCCCAUGCGCUUGUGUGUGUUAUGUCAAGCCAUCUGUCGGGCCUUCUAUUGUUGUAGCAUGAUCCAUUGAGAAAUUAUAGCAUGUUCAUAUACUAAUUUAUGCGAUAAGAAACCAAGGAAAAAUGUUUUUUUUUUUUUUUUUUGGAAACGAA
rnacentral:lncRNA from 1 species